CUGGCCAGGGAGCAGCGAGCAAGGGGCUGGGGGCUUAGUGUCGGCCGUUUAAAAAUGCCCCUGCAGCAGUGAGGGGUGCCAGAGUCCCAGUGAAGUUAGUUGAGAAGCAGUGACAUCCUCAAAGAUCCCCCAAAUGGCCUGACCCCCAUCUCUGGGCCACAAGGAGCCACACCUGGACCAGACACAGGAGAGAUGCAGAACCCAAGGCUAACAAGGAGGAAGUUGCCUGAGACUACACUGCCAGAGUGGCUGCCCUGCCCUAUGCAUCCUUCUUCGCCUCCUUCCUGCCUUCCAGCCAGAGAUGAGACCAUGGAAAGGGCACGGAGGAGCCAGCACCCCAGAGGGGCCUCCUGAGGACCAGAGGAAGGCAGGCAACAGGGACCCUGGAAACAGAACUCCUCCCAGGAGCUUCCCGACAGAAGACAGAGGUUCCCCCAGGCUCAGCGACAUUUCCUGAAGACAGUGGGGAGCAGGAAGGAGAAACGGCUCAUCCUUGGAGCAGCCCCCCCAGACUGCCAAGGGCCAGCACCAGGCACUCCUCCAGGGCAAGGAUGACAUCAAGUUCAGUCCCGUCUCCCCCUUGGCAUGUAGAAGACGGACUCGGUUUGCCGGAUGGGCAGGUGAAAUGGUUAGACUGUCUCAGACCCACAGGAUUGCUCAGGGGGUGAGACGUUGAGCAUAGAGAUUGAAAUGAGGAAUCCCAGCUGGGCUCCUAGCUCCCUGCCCUCGGAAAAGU